rnacentral:rRNA from 1 species
CCUACGGGAGGCAGCAGUGAGGAAUAUUGGUCAAUGGACGGAAGUCUGAACCAGCCAUGCCGCGUGCAGGAAGACGGCUCUAUGAGUUGUAAACUGCUUUUGUACAAGGGUAAACCUGAAUACGUGUAUUCAGCUGAAAGUACUGUACGAAUAAGGAUCGGCUAACUCCGUGCCAGCAGCCGCGGUAAUACGGAGGAUCCAAGCGUUAUCCGGAUUUAUUGGGUUUAAAGGGUGCGUAGGCGGAUUGAUAAGUUAGAGGUGAAAUGUCCGAGCUUAACUCGGGAACUGCCUCUAAUACUGUUGAUCUAGAGAGUAGAUGCGGUAGGCGGAAUGUAUGGUGUAGCGGUGAAAUGCAUAGAUAUCACGAAGAACUCCGAUUGCGAAGGCAGCUUACCAGUCUGCGACUGACGCUCAGGCACGAAAGUGUGGGUAGCGAACAGGAUUAGAUACCCGAGUAGUC